rnacentral:misc_RNA from 1 species
AAGUCGUAACAAGGUUGCCGUAGGUGAACCUGCGGCAGGAUCAUUAACGAUUUAAAAAAAAAAAACUGUCCUUUUUGUUGGGCUGCUUCUCGAAGGAGAAAAUUUUUUUUUCUCCGUUUCGAGCGAGCUAAAAACAGUAAAUGGUUUCCAAAACUAAAUCGACCUAUCUUUAUAAGGGUCGCAUUUAAACAAAAACUUGCCGAUCGGUGGAUCACUCGGCUGGU